CAGCUAUAUAAGCUCCAGGAAGCAGAGAGCCAGGCAUCUCUACUUGAAAGUUGUUUGAAGAGUUUGUGCACAGUGGGUCUCCUACUCGGCUACUCUCCGGGAACCAUGGCUGUUGUGGAGCUGAAGGUUGGAAUGCACUGUGAGAGUAGGUUCUGGUGUCCCCUGGCCUAGUCGGUCGUGGGAGAUGAGCUCCUCGUCCGUGUUGAUGAGUUAUUAGUCUUGUCGGGAUCUUAUGAGUCUGAUGGACGCGUUUCGGAUGGCUCUCGACGCGUGGGUCGACUGUGUGGAGGUGGAUGUUAUAAACUUAUUUGUCGGGAUCUGUGUGGAGGUGCGUUGUAAACUUAGUAAGCUUGUUAUAAAAUUUCUCUGUUGUCCUUAACUA